AGGCAUGCAAGUCGAACGAAGUAGACAAUACUUAGUGGCGCAAGGGUGAGGAACACGUGAGUGACCUACCCGCCAAGUUUGGAACAGCUCCUGGAAACGGAAUUAAUACCGGAUGUGAUCAAUGGACUGCAUGGUUUAUUGAUUAAAGCAGCAAUGCGCUUGCGGAUGGGCUCGCGUCCCAUUAGCUAGUUGGUGAGGUAACGGCCCACCAAGGCCAUGAUGGGUAGCUGGUCUGAGAGGACGACCAGCCACACUGGGACUGAGAACUGCCCAGACUCCGUACGGGAGGCUGCAGUCGAGUAAUUUUGGGCAAUGGACGAAAGUCUUGACCCAGCAAUGCCGCGUGCGGGAUGAAGGUCUUCGGAUUGUAAACCGCUGUUUGGAGGGACGAAAAUUGACGGUACUUCCAGAGGAAGCCACGGCUAACUACGUGCCAGCAGCGGC
rnacentral:rRNA from 1 species